AGCAGAGGUGCAGAGGCAUGAGCCAGCAUGCUAUUUUGAGAAAGUCCUAGCAGUUUAUUGGCCCUGGAUGAAAAAAGAGAGCAGUGGAGAGGAAAGCAAGGUCAAUGGUGUGGUGUCAGGUGGGUCUGGGCUGAUAGAGAGAACUUGGGUUCCACCACAAAGAAGCUAAAAAGCAAAAAGAGGGUGUGUGAUGGGGAAGCAGCCGGCCACAGCGUCCAGGAUCAUGGCUCAAUCCGGAAGACAAUCUUACUUGUUAAUUUGUGUUUUGCUGCCCUGAUAAACAAUCAGGGCUAUAUCUCACCAGAAGAUAAGAGAUCUAUCUGAUGUGGCAGGUGGUAAAAUAGCAUGGCCAAAGGAACAGUAAGACUGUCAAAUUCGGAUUUGAAAGGUGAGUUGUUAUUUAGAGAUUGUAUAAGCAGUUCACUGAAAGAAUGUGCCGCUUCACUGCAAGGUUUUGCCUUUCAUCGUGUGUGUGUGUGUGUGUGUGUGUGUGAGAGAGAGAGUGUGUGUGUGUGUGUGUGUGUAUUUAAACUUGCUACCAGGUUUGUACAGUUUUCUAUUUUGUUCAUUUGCCAUAUCAUUAUAAACAGAACAGCUACUUCAGAUUGUGGGAGGAAGAUUACUAGACUAAUG
rnacentral:lncRNA from 1 species